AGAACGAACGCUGGCGGCAUGCCUAACACAUGCAAGUCGAACGAGACCUUCGGGUCUAGUGGCGCACGGGUGCGUAACGCGUGGGAAUCUGCCCUUGGGUUCGGGAUAACAGUUGGAAACGACUGCUAAUACCGGAUGAUGUCUUCGGACCAAAGAUUUAUCGCCCAAGGAUGAGCCCGCGUAGGAUUAGCUUGUUGGUGAGGUAAGAGCUCACCAAGGCGACGAUCCUUAGCUGGUCUGAGAGGAUGAUCAGCCACACUGGGACUGAGACACGGCCCAGACUCCGUACGGGAGGCAGCAGUGGGGAAUAGUUGGACAAGUGGGACGAAAAGCCUAGGAUACCAAACAAUCGCCGCGGUGAGUGAGUGAAGGUCCGUUAAGGGUUAGUAAAGUCGUUACGUUUUACCCGGGAUAGUAUAAUGACGAGGUAACCGGAGAAGUAACGACCCGGUACUAACUCCGUGCCGAGACGACGCCGGACGGU
rnacentral:rRNA from 1 species